UGGAAGAAACAACACGAAGGUUUGACUUGCGAAAAAUUUGCCGAGUGGAAAGAAGCUAACGACCCGGAAUAUCAAGCCGAAGGACUGGCUAAACAUUUGGCAGAGAAGGGAAUACGUUGUCCACAAUGCCGUUUCCAGUUUUCACUAACUCGUUGAGGAUGCAUGCACUUCACUUGCACUCAGUGCAAAUGGGGUUGGGGUUAUACGUCCAUAAAAGCAAUGAAACUUUUAAUAAUUUAUUACAAAAUCCCGCAACAUAAUUUUGUUCUGGGUGCGACCGGCAGUUUUUAAUGGGUUCCCGGUGUGGAGUUGGGCCAUUUUGUGACAAACUUGGAUUGCACGCCCAUCACCCUCAAAAUUUUCUAUCUACGAGACAAGGAGCCGCGGGAUCUCCAAAAGCUUUUGACGGAACAUGGAGUUCCAUUCAUGACUUCAUUCCGGGAUAGGCCCCAUUCAUGGGCAGGCUGGACUUUGCAGGUGAGACGCUAAUAGCUGGGCAAGUUGAAUUACAUAAGAAAGACAAUUUUACUGGUGGGAGAGGAUGUUUUCUGAAAUAAAAUCUCUGCGGGUGAUUGGACUGAAAUAAGGCUCCAUUAUGUGGAAUACCUUGCGGCCUUGAUCACGAAAAACGAUGUGGAUCCCUUGGAUAUCUUUAGCUCAGAUGAACUUGAAACGUUAAUACAAACGGCCGGCAUUCGGCGGCCAUCUCGGAAUCUUCCACCGAACGCACCUCUUGUGUCAUACCGCCGUAGACUACUUGAGGUAUCAUUGAAUUUGUUAUUUGUUUUUUGUUUUUUGUUUCACUAGGCACAUAAUCCCAACAAUUAACUCAAACAUGAAGAGAAGUGGAAAUUGGCUGUUAGCAAGAUGACUAGUAAAGAUAACAUUGGAAUUAUUCAUCGUGUUCCAACUAUUCAGCAUAUUCUCAAACAAUCUGACUUUGAUAACUACGUUGCUAUUGUUGAAAGACUUUUCAGCCAAGGAAGUCUGAUUUUCUCUCCAAGACGUUUGAAUUUGACUGACAACACUUCGAAUGUUACUGUUCUUAAAAGUGACAAUCUGACAAGAUUGUAAAAUACUGGUGAUAUUGUGAUUUAAUGAAUGACACACUGAAAAAUUCAGUAAUCAUAAUUGUUUUUCAUUUUUGUCUAUUUGUCUUAUGAUUACCUCUUCUCUUGCUUAACUUGAAAAAUAAAAACAAAAUGUCUGAAACUGAA